rnacentral:rRNA from 1 species
CCUCUAGUCUACGCACUUGUCCCACGCCGCCAGCGUAAGGAACGCACCGUGCGCGACGGUCUUCACCUAUGCUCUUGGGUUCAAGACAUUCGGGGAGCACUUGGUCCGGCGGCCAUGGUGCAAUAUGUCAACCUUUGGCGUCAAGUGCGCCACACAUCCCUCUCCACCAUGCCAGACGUGCUCACAUGGCGAUGGACUACAUCCUCCACUUACUCGGCGAGCUCCUGUUACAAUGCGUUCUUCAUUGGUGCGUGCGAGGACGCCCAUUGGCGUCUCACCUGGCGGCCCUGGGCACCUCUCCGCAUCAAGUUCUUUCCCUGGCUGGCCAUGCAAGACCGUUGUUGGACCGCGAAAUGA